UUGCCAUAACCCAAUUUUUUUCAGGUUGACCUCGGAUCAGGUAGGGAUACCCGCUGAACUUAAGCAUAUCA
rnacentral:rRNA from 1 species